CUUCAGAGGAAAAAAUAGAUAUUUAAUGAAAUAGAAGACUUUCAAGGAUUCCUGAUGAAAAGAUCAGAGCUUGAUAGAAAACCUGACAUUCAAACAAAAGGCUCAAGAGAAGCAUAAAAAGGUUGUAGUUACUCUCCAUCCGGUGUUUUGAAAGGGAAGUGAAGAGAAACCAAAAUACCAACUCUACACUAUCCUCUCUGGAAUCCUUGCCACCUCAUCAUAUUACUGAUUAUGUCCAGCCAAGCCUCAGCCUUACAUCACUUCCACCGUUUGCCACUUACACUUCUAUAUACAGGCUUCUGAACGAAGAUGAAGAAAACACACAAUUGUUAUGACUUGGUCAACUACAAAUUUAUGUGACACAACCUCAACUGAGACCCCAUUGUUGCUAGGCAAUGCCACUAUACCUCCCUUAUCAAUUCACUAUCCCACUCUCCAUAGCUGCUUUUCCAAAUCUUUUCAUCUCUGUUCAAAUCCCCCAUGGCUCAGGCUUCAGUAAGCGGAAGUUUGCAAAAGGACAAGGCUUGAUUCAUCAGCAAGUUUUGAAUUUGCCUGUGUACUCCACGCAUGGCUUGGUUGUGACAAAGUGUAUGAGAAGCAUGUGACCUUGAGCAGCUGCUAGUCAGGUUCUGGUCAUCAUCUGUGUGAGCUGGUCUUGUGAGCUCUUUGCCUUCAUCAGUUUAAAUCGAAAUAUUUUCACGUGUGCAAAUUUCCAGACAGCAAGAAAUUUUUAUGAGGUUUGUUUUGGUUUUUUUUAACUUAGCAAAACACUUCUGGGGAAUCUACACGUGAAAAGGGAAAAAAAAGUUUUUGAAUGGCAAGAACAGAAUAGUUCGUUGUACAAGGGCUGGUAGGCACUGGAGUGUAACACUUGAAAGUUUUGUGGUACUAUAGCUACUCCUUGUCUCUCAAGAGGUAGUAGUGAGGAGAUACUCUGUAAACCUGGAGAGCAAGCAGAGAGUUUAGUAAUGCCUUUCUCUUCAAUCCCUCCUCAGAUGAAGGUAGAUGGAAUAUAUGAGAUAAAAGAAGAGUAAAAGGUAAAAGGAAUCCUCUUCACUAUUAUAAUGCUUCUUCCACAUAUUUCAAAUAGCAACAAAAGAGAAAAUAAGAGCUUUUCCUCCCAAAAGAAGAUAUUCCACAAAUAUCAGUUCCCCCAUCCCAAAAAUAUUUAUUAGUUUCCUACUAUGUGUAACUAUGUAUUAUAGAGGGUACAAAUGUAGCUUUCCUUUCCAGAGUCACCCUGGAGAGGAAAUAUUUUCAAAAUUCUACCAACCACAGACAUGGAACUGGAGCUAUCGUGGAUUCUUUGCAAGGAAGACAUAGAGAGGAAGACAGAUCAAAAGGAAGAAGCCACACAUAACCUAGCCCCAACCUGUCUUCCAGCCUCA